GUCCCUUCGGGGACAUCCGAUAUAAUUGGAAUGACACAGAGAAGAUUAGCAUGGUCCCUAAUAAAGGUUUAAACACUAAAAGGUCAUAAAUAUGAAUUAUUU